rnacentral:rRNA from 1 species
UACAGAGGUCCCAAGCGUUGUUCGGAUUCACUGGGCGUAAAGGGUGCGUAGGUGGUCGAGUAAGUCUGAUGUGAAAUCUUCGAGCUCAACCCGAAAAUGGCAUUGGAUACUAUUCGGCUGGAGGGUUGGAAGGGGGACUGGAAUUCUCGGUGUAUCAGUGAAAUGCGUAGAUAUCGAGAGGAACACCGGUGGCGAAGGCGAGUCCCUGGACAAUCCCUGACACUGAGGCACGAAAGCUAGGGGAGCAAACGGG